rnacentral:rRNA from 1 species
AUGAAGGCAGCAUUAAAAACUAUCCUCCCACAUACUCUGCAUAAGUUGUGUCGGUGGCAUAUCAUGAAGAAGUACAAAGACCACCUCGCCUUGCUGUAUAAGGCGCAUGAGAAACUCAAGGAUGACCUCAAUGCGGUGCUGAACCACCCACUAAUGCCGUCAAAAUUUGAACGACCAUGGAAGGACCUCAUUCAGAGAUACAACUUGCAAGACGACAAAGUGAUGAAUUCGCUGUGGGAUGACAGGCAUGAGUGGAUCUCGGCUUACUACAAGGAAAUUUUCUGUGCUCGGAUGACUUCCACACAGAGAAGCAAGAGCAUGAACCGCAUACUAAAGAAAAACUUUGUCAAAGAGAAGCAUGAUCUCCAUCUGUUUGCUCAGCAGGUGGACAAGUGCAUUCAGACCCGGAAUGUCGUCGAGCACGCAGAGACAGUAGCAAAUGAGUCAGAGGUAAAGACAACAACCCAGUUUGGGUUCGAAGUUCAGCUAUCAAAAGUGUAUACAAGGGCAGUGUUUGCAGAUUUCAAAGAAAAACUCUACCGUAGCACUGCAUUCAGAGCAGAACGGUGCCCUGAGAACCCGACAAAGUAUCUCGUACACCACUACAACAGAUCGGAUGCAUUUGACUGGGCAAUGCAUAAUUUCCAAGUGGUCGCCGAUGAACAGAAAGGUGUCCACGAAUGUGAGUGCAAACUCUGGACACACACAGGGCUCUUUUGCGUCCAUGUGUUAUGCAUGCUUUCUCAUUUGAGAGUACUCAAGAUUCCUGAGGUGUACAUCAUGAAAACAUACACCCGUAACGCAAGAUCAAAUGCAACGUUUGACAGAAGAGACUAUGAACAAACAGCACCAGAUGGAACCUCGCUUUUUUGCCGUAGAAAAUUGCUGACAGAAACAGCAAUGGACCUUGCAAACAAAGCGACAAGGUCCGACGCUGGGUGCCACAGAGCAUUGUCUGGUAUGAGGGCACUGAUCGAGGAAGUUGAUGUGCUCAACAAAGAAGAAGAAGAAGAAGAAGAAGAAGAAGCAAAACUAAAGCAAGUAGAGAAAUCCCAACAUGACAAUAAUGCCGAGCAAGUAGAAAAUACCUAA